UCUCCUGAUACACAUUAUUUGCCAAAAUCAGUAUUUCUCAGAAGUCUAUUUUUAUCUUGUGUUAUCAUCCUGUUUUCAUUAAUGUUGCAAUAUAUUUAAUUUUGCAGCCAAACUGGAAAUGUGUUAACACUGGUUUUCCCUGUGAUGUAUCUCAAUGAGAGUGUGGAGAUUGAUGCCAAGUCUGCAUCCAAAUUGGAGUCGGUGGUGUACCAGGCCAAUGUGGUCAUCAACAUCCCCUUCAUAAUAAUGGCCUUUGGGAUUCUUCUGGGGGUUAUCUUCAUUGUAUUGUUAUGCAAGAACCGUGAGCCAGAGGGAACUAAAGAAGAACAAGGACCUCUCUUGCAAGCAUCGUCAUAACCAUGCCUAAAGGAAAAUAUAUUUUUUGAUCGUGGAAGCUUUGAAAUGCUCGCUGCUUGCAGCUCUAUGGGGGAGGGCUGGCCUUUCGAGGCUAGUCUGAUAAGUUCCUUUCUCUCUACACUGUAACCCUAAUGUUUACCAAUUUCACUGCACUACCCAUAUAUAAGUGUACCAUAGUAAAAGCACAGCAUAUGAAAACAUUGUACAGAAUGAGGUAUGGUAAAUACAUAGAACUGUGGGAGUGGCAUUGUAAAACUAAAUUACUAAAAAUACAGUGGUACAUUUUUAUAUGGGUAUUGCUUCUAGAAUAAUAUUGACUACCUGUACGUACUGCAUGGUAAUGGUUGCUAUUUGAACUGCAGGUUGCUGGUUACAAGCUCUAAUUGUUCAAAGUGGAUUUUUGUGCAGCACCAAACUCACUUAAUCAAAUACACUAUUUUAUUUAAUUUUUAAUAAAUCCAGACACUACUGUGUUAUGAUGGUACUACAAAUAAAGGUUUCUCCUCAAUUACUGGCAUUAUUAUAAAUUAUGCAGGUUUUACAGGUUUCCUCUAACUUCAUCUGUAAUACUGUUAGGCAUCCUCUGAACAUCUGGUUCUGGUCUUUGUUCCAACCAUGUGCUUAAUAAUUUUUGCACAGCUUAGAACUUUUCAAACCACGCCUAUUUACUUUGGCACUUGGGGAGUAGUCAUGUCAUUAUUUAACUCCUAGGUGUGUGAGUGUUGAGCCACAUUUAAACUCCAUGUUGUGUGUUAAUGCUUUCAUAUAGUGGUUCAGCUGUACAUAUUAUCCCCAUUACAGUCUAACUUCCAUGUUGUUAUUUUCUGCUCGCUUUAAAAUCAAACACUUCUAAAAAGGGACUGCUUGUCUUUGAUUAAUGAUUGACCAGCUUCAGAAUUGAUGUAUUGGAUGUCUAAUAACAAAGUUAUAGCUAGUAACAUUCCACAGCUCUUAGUGUGCCUGCUUUAUAGUGUGUCAAACAGGUGAACCUUGUAGGUAAUACUGGAGCUGAAGAGCUAAGUUUAAGAUGUAGUGAUCUUGUAUGCAGGUACAUUAUAUAAAGACCCUAGAAUGGAGGCAUUACUUUUGGAAUAGAUAUUUUGUUUGAAUGUUAUAUUAUAUUUGAAAAGUAUCUUAUCAGUAUACUCUCUUUUGAAGUGUUUCUCUUAUUUUGUCAUCAGUACUUUUAGUUGCAAUAUAAUUCUCUCUCAUUAUCAGUUAUGAUUUUAACUACAUACUAUAAAAUGUCUUGAGUGGUCAUAGUCCGAGAGUAAAUUUGAUUAAUGUUAAUACAGGGGUAAAAUAAAACACUACUAACUAAACAAUGCAAUGAAAAUAUAUGUUUUAUUAUUGUAUGCACAGACAUUUAAUAUGCACAUCUAACUGAAAUAAUCAAUGCAGUGUGGUAUCAAAAUAGUUAAAAAUGUAACAAAAGAUAACCAGUGUGAUUUAUUUUUUGGCCAGAGUUGGUUCUUUGGCAUUUGAUUUUACAUGUUGGUCUUUUGUUUUGUAGUGAAUUAGUCAAAUAAACAUUAUGGUAUUCUAAGAUUCUGUAGAUAGUCGGCAAAUAAUUCUAUAAAACUGUUUGCUCUACUACUGGGGAAUUACAGAAUGUUAUGUUUCAUUAAAACAAUGUGAUUGCACUAUACAGAUUAUUGUAAGGAAGAGAUAAACAUACUGUGUUUUAGUCUACUCAAAAAUGUUUAAUUCAGUAAAUUUUGUAAUGUUGCUACAUCAUAUUAAAACAAUUUAAGCACAGUGUUUUACAAUUAAACAACAGUUAUAUUCACAAUUUAAUGUAACAAACAUAACAAUAAACCAUUCUAAAAGA